rnacentral:rRNA from 1 species
GAUGAACGCUGGCGGCGUGCCUAAUACAUGCAAGUCGAGCGAACAGACGAGGAGCUUGCUCCUCUGACGUUAGCGGCGGACGGGUGAGUAACACGUGGAUAACCUACCUAUAAGACUGGGAUAACUUCGGGAAACCGGAGCUAAUACCGGAUAAUAUAUUGAACCGCAUGGUUCAAUAGUGAAAGACGGUUUUGCUGUCACUUAUAGAUGGAUCCGCGCCGCAUUAGCUAGUUGGUAAGGUAACGGCUUACCAAGGCGACGAUGCGUAGCCGACCUGAGAGGGUGAUCGGCCACACGGGAACUGAGACACGGUCCAGACCCCUACGGGAGGCAGCAGUAGGGAAUCUUCCGCAAUGGGCGAAAGCCUGACGGAGCAACGCCGGGGGAGUGGUGAAGGUCUUCGGAUCGUAAAACUCUGUUAUUGGGGAAGAACAAAUGUGUAAGUAACUAUGCACGUCUUGACGGUACCUAAUCAGAAAGCCCCGGCUAACUACGU